UGGGGAAUAUUGGACAAUGGAGGAAACUCUGAUCCAGCAAUCCUGUGUGUGUGAAGAAGGUUUUAGGACUGUAAAACACUUUUAGUAGGGAAGAAAAAAAUGACGGUACCUAUAGAAGAAGCAACGGCUAAAUACGUGCCAGCAGCCGCGGUAAUACGUAUGUUGCGAGCGUUAUCCGGAAUUAUUGGGCUUAAAGGGCAUCUAGGCGGUAAGACAAGUUGAAGGUGAAAACCUGUGGCUCAACCAUAGGCUUGCCUACAAAACUGUUGAACUAGAGUACUGGAAAGGUGGGUGGAACUACACGAGUAGAGGUGAAAUUCGUAGAUAUGUGUAGGAAUGCCGAUGAUGAAGAUAACUCACUGGACAGAAACUAACGCUGAAGUGCGAAAGAUAGGGGAGCAAACAAG
rnacentral:rRNA from 1 species